AGCGAACGCUGGCGGCAGGCCUAACACAUGCAAGUCGAACGAACCUUUCGGGGUUAGUGGCGGACGGGUGAGUAACACGUGGGAACGUGCCUUUAGGUUCGGAAUAACUCAGGGAAACUUGUGCUAAUACCGAAUGUGCCCUUCGGGGGAAAGAUUUAUCGCCUUUAGAGCGGCCCGCGUCUGAUUAGCUAGUUGGUUGAGGUAAUGGCUCACCAAGGCGACGAUCAGUAGCUGGUCUGAGAGGAUGAUCAGCCACAUUGGGACUGAGACACGGCCCCAAAUCCUACGGGAGGCAGCAGUGGGGAAUCUUGCGGAAUGGGCGAAAGCCUGACGCAGCCAUGCCGCGUGAAUGAUGAAGGUCUUAGGAUUGUAAAAUUCUUUCACCGGGGACGAUAAUGACGGUACCCGGAGAAGAAGCCCCGGCUAACUUCGUG
rnacentral:rRNA from 1 species